rnacentral:rRNA from 1 species
UGGGGGAUAUUGCACAAUGGGCGAAAGCCUGAUGCAGCGACGCCGCGUGGGGGAUGAAGGCCUUCGGGUUGUAAACUUCUUUUGCUCUGAACAAGGCAUGCUAAUGGGUGUGUUGAGUGUAGGGGUUGAUUAGCGCCGGCUAACUACGUGCCAGCAGCCGCGGUAAUACGUAGGGCGCGAGCGUUGUCCGGAAUUAUUGGGCGUAAAGGGCUUGUAGGUGGCUGGUUGCGUCUGUCGUGAAAGCUCAUGGCUUAACUGUGGGUUUGCGGUGGGUACGGGCUGGCUUGAGUGCAGUAGGGGAGGCUGGAAUUCCUGGUGUAGCGGUGAAAUGCGCAGAUAUCAGGAGGAAUACCGGUGGCGAAGGCGGGUCUCUGGGCUGUUACUGACACUGAGGAGCGAAAGCAUGGGGAGCGAACAGG